AUGUACUACUUCCGCGUAUUAAUCUAAAAUGAGACGAUUCAGCGUGAAAUUAUUGUAAACAAACCCACAUGGAGUACAAAUGAUUUACAAUGGAAGUGACAGGCUUCUCUUCAACAUUAGCAAGGAUGGACCAAAGCUAUGAAAAUUGGACAGUCUCAAAGACACAAUUUUAGUCAGUAUAGAUGUGUCCUUACGGAGGCAGCUAACAAAUAGCAGGAUAAUUAACAUUGCAUGGUGAACAUGUAGAAAUUUCGCUCUGUGUCAUCUCUAAAUAAGAAAAGCUCAACUCAGCACAACCGCAGUCCGAUACUGUGACUAUUCUCAUGAUUCUGUCAGAAGGUGAGUACAUGUAUAUUUAAAUCAAUUUAAUAUAUUUCAAGUGGGAUAAGUGUCAUAAGUUAUGAUACAUAUAUGUUUGAUAGCAUAA